CUUGUUUGGGUGAACUUUCUGACUGGAAUUGUUUCAUUGAGUGAGGUCUGUUUCACUGAUCAAGAGAAUCUGCAACAUGCACUAACAGAAGAGCUGUCCAGUUUAUUGGGUCUAGAUUGAAUUGGAGGGUUUGACGGAAUUGGGCUGAACAAAUCCAGCCCAUCAUAAUUUGAAUUUUUGGUUCGGUUUUAAACCGGUUUAUAACCGACACCGGAGCGGUUUCGGUUCAAUUUUAUUUGGAAACCGAAAAUCAGUUCGGUUCAAGCUACCGGUUAACCGGUUUUUUCCACCUCUACUAGCCACUUCUCAUCAUCUUUUUGUUCAUUCAAUUUCUUCAUUUUGUUGGGAAAAAUGUGGAUAUUUGAGGAGAAUUUGGCUUGGAAAAUCAACCCUUUUUAGGAUCAACUCUUGGUGAAGUUCCAAAAUUGUACUUAGGAAGUGUCAACUUGGGGAAGCUGUCCAGGAGAAAGAAGAGGGCCUUGACUCCUAGUGUGACGCCUCUCAAGCAUUUUAUCAAACACUCGGUGUGCGUCACUCCGACACUCUAGAACCUUCUAGAAUACUCGGAAGCUUGAGCGAACAAGGCAACUUAGGACAAUCAUCGGGAGAUUGGCACCUAAGGCCGCACAAGUUUGAAGGGAAACAGUCGGGUCGUGACACUAGUAGUGGAAGAUGGAUAAGCUGGAGCAUGGGGCAAGGAAAACAUUUUGUUUGGGGCGUGCAGCUUUUUAGGAGAAGCGGAUAUUGGUACUUGAUGAAGCGACUGUAUCAAUUGACAACGCAACUGCCACCAUUUACAGAAAACUAUUCGAACAGAAUUUGCAGAUUGCACUGUGAUCACAGUAGCUCAUAGGAUACCAACUGUGAUGGAUGCAACAUGGAAAGCGAGUGGAGUAUGAUGAGCAAUGAAGUUGAUGAAGCACAGAAGAAUUUAUGUUUGGA